rnacentral:rRNA from 1 species
UAGGGAAUCUUCCGCAAUGGACGAAAGUCUGACGGAGCAACGCCGCGCGAGUGAAGAAGGAUUUCGGUUCGUAAAUCUUUGUUGUUAGGGAAGAAAAAAUGUAUAGUAACUAUAUACAAAAGAGACGGUACCUAACCAGAAAGCCACGGCUAACUACGUGCCAGCAGCCGCGGUAAUACGUAGGUGGCAAGCGUUGUCCGGAAUUAUUGGGCGUAAAGCGCGCGCAGGUGGUUUAGAAAGUCUGAUGUGAAAGCCCACGGCUCAACCGUGGAGGGUCAUUUGAAACUAAGAAACGUGAGUGCAGGGGAGAAGAGUGGGAUUCCUAGUGUAGCGGUGAAAUGCGUAGAGAUUAGGAGAAACACCGGAGGCGAAAGCGGCUUUUUGGCCUGCAGCUGACACUGAGGCGCGAAAGCGUGGGGAGCAAACAGG